GGGGUGGAACUGUGGGAGCAGCUUGAACGAAGCUGCAACAAGAGAAGUUGGGGUCGGAGUUUCAAGAGGAAAAACGGGGUGGAGAUGCUGGUGGAGCAGAGCCGAAAUGAGGAUGGAGCUGAGGCCCUUCUGUGAUGCACCCUUAGGCAAGAGUCCAAACUUGCGUGCGGCGACCUAACGGCACCUCCAGUGUCUACCCCCAGAGGGCAUGGAAGCAGCAAGAAGGGCGGGAACACUUGCCUGGGUUCCAUGCAGCUCUAGGCUAAGUCUUGCAGGGCUGAGCGCCCCCAGGCCUGCUUUCCUGUGUCCUAGUCGCUGUCAGUGCCUGCCAGUGGGGUCCAGAGGGACCUUCUUUUUGACGCCUCUUUUGCAAGUGAUGAGAAACAUCCACACUCUUAAUGUCUUGCCUCCUCCGACCUAAGUCGUCCCACACACAGCCCAACUUCCCUGGCAAACUUGCUUUUCAAACUCUCUUCUCCAUCUCAGUCAGGGGCUCAGGUUCUGUAGUGCUGCCAUGCUUUACUCCUCUGUCCCUCCCCUUAUCUAGUCUCCCGCAUUGACUUCACAAGCAAGUUUUGAGUCCCUGCCUCUGGAGUGCCUGAUGAGACAAAACUGCUCCUCGUCCUGCAUCCCUGCUGCUACUUCCAGAACUCAGGGCUCGUGGUCUGGAGCCUGCACUGUUCCAUGAGCCUCCUGACCAACCUGGAAGCCUCUGUCUUUCCUCCCUCAGUGAGAUGCACCUACUUCUCCCUGGAGAAGCUCGAGGAAGCAGGAAUACUGAAGAUGAGAGACCACAUCUGCUCAGGGGUUUAUUCUUCCGUCUGUUUGCAGGGCUGUUUUGUACUCAGUAUUCACCUAAGCACUCCAAACUACCCAGCACACCCUGCCUGCGCAGCUCUGUGCUGCACCUUCACUCUAGUCACGGGUGUGGCAGUCAGCUCACCAAUUCCUCCUGCUUCCCUGGGACUCGCUGGCUUUUAGCACCGCAAGUCCCUCAGCAAACUGGGACUGUUGAUCACCCUACCCGGCAGCCAGUGAUAAGGUGAGGGCCACUCCUGGGAGGGAGGACACCUGUGGGGAAAAUUCUUGUGUUAUUUAUUUCUCCUUCGGGGUAGGGUGCCUGCAGUGCUUCAUGGGAGGGGCUGGGCUGAUGCUGCAAGCUCAGAAGUUUCAAGGGCAUCUAGGGAGACCAGAUAUUCAGAGACCUUCUCCUCGAUGUGCCUGUUCCAUGUAUCAGGGAUGCAGGUUUUCCCAGCAGGACUUGUGUCAUUGGCAUGACAGACCUGCCUUGGCUGAGCGUUCAACUGUCUUUGGAGUUCAGCCACCUUAGCAAGUCCUGGGUUUGUUCUUCAGACUUCGCUGCUUGCCCAUUGCUUGGAUCGGGGGCUACUUUGUAAACCACCAGGAAGACUCCAGUGUUUCUGCUUAAUUUUUAGAUGUUUGUUAAUUGCCCUUGGCCUCUCAUUAAUCCCGGUGGGUCCUUCAGGAAACAUACCGUUCCCUGAGUUUUCAUUUCCAGGCAUCUGCCCUGCCUGGAUCUCCUUGCCAUCCAGGAACUUCCUCUUCACAAGCCGGCCAUCCCAGCAAAAGUUCUAACAUCAAAGGUCUAGCAACUAGCCUGCCAUCUUGUGCCUAGAGCCACCUGCGUGCCACCUACCCCCGAAGAUGGGAACCUCGUUGCCAGUUGGGGAGAUGCAGGGCAAUCCUGUACCAAGACCCCAUCUUACCACCUGUUUUCUCGGACCACUCUGGAACCCACUGUCUCAGAUUGGGUCCUCCAGGAAGCAGACUGUGAGAGGGAGUUGGCAGGACCAAAGGUUUACUGGGGCUAACUAACCCUCAGGAAAGGGACAGGAAGGAAGCAGGGCUGGAGAGCAGGUUGAGCCCAACCUGACAGUCUUGAGCAGCCCAGCAGGGAGGUGUGGAGCAAGGGUUGCCCACUAGAGGGGCCUGCAUUGGGCUUGGGUGGUGGGGUCCACAUGGUACCUGGCACACAGCAGGCUGUGCAAUCCAUAUUAACUGCCUGGAUGAAUUAAUGCCCAGGAAAGGUGCCCUGGGGAACGGGUAUGUGCUGAGCACAAUAGGGAAGGGCCCAGCAUCUGCCUUGGCAUAGGCAGAACUGUGCUGUGCCCUGCAACAGGCCACCCGAGAGCUGCUUUCAUCUUGUGUGUGCAUUAGACAACUGCCAGGGGCAUGAAGGGGAUGUGCUUCCAGGGCAUUUGCUGGCAGGGUGUCUCGUGAUCUCUUGAUAUUGGUGUGAGCACAACCUGGCAGGAGAGGGCAGAUCUCAGUGCAAAGUAUCAUGUCAAAAAGCAGAUCGAAGCCAGGCCCCCUCCUGGAAGAGGCUCCUUGAAGGUAGGUGCACACUCAUGUCUUUGUUACUUGUAAGGGAACAUCUUACAGGCAAGAGGAGUUAGGUGAAUGUGAAGAGGAAGGAACUGCUCACUCUGGGCAAGGGGCUGGGGGAGGCUUCGUAGAGGAGCGGGUGUUUGAGCUGGGCCUUGAAGGUCGAAAGGGUUUUGUUAGGUGGGAAAUGGGGGAAGGACAGCCUGAAGGGGUUAGGUACCUUCAAGGAGCCCAGAGAAGGUUGGUGGCUGGAGCAGACCCAUUCGUAGAGUGAAGUCGUGGAAGAAGAGGCUGGGAAACUAGAUUGGGUCCAACUCCUAAAGGCCCACUGAAGGAGUGUGGGUUGCACGCUGGGUGCAGCUGGUGAGUGUCCUCACUUGGGUUUCACUGUCAGCAUUUUUAAAAGGCAAACUGGUUCUCUUCCUGAGGAGAAUUCACUGAUUCACUGAUGUGGCCAGUAAGUCAUCUGGGCCAGAGGUGGGUGGGGAGAUGAUAGGGGUGCAAGUGUCACCUUCAAUCACAGCAUAAUUGCCCUUGCUUUCUUACCUCUCAUUUAGAUAUUUCAAUACUUGCUCAGGUUCCCUGUACCCUCCUUCAUUCUCCCUUCCCAGCCAUAGUACUUAUGGGGAGACUUUCUCUUUAUAAAAUGACCGUUAGUCUUAUCAAAUUAAUCCUAAAGUAGUACCAUCAAUUUCCCCCUAAAAUACCAACAAGACCCCUGCUUGAAACUACUUGUACAUUAGGGACAGAGAAGAGUUCAUGAGAAUCAGCAUUUUCUGAGGACUCCAUCUGUCUUCUGAGAGAGAGUUCUCCUGCUGGUGCCUCCUCUAUAGUAAAGCAAAGGCUCCUGGGACCACAUUAUCAUUCUCUUCACUCAAGAGAUGAGGAUGCUGAAAUUCAGAGAGGGGAAGUGAUUUGCCUCAGCUUGUGCUAAAGAAACAUUUCAACAGAGAACCCAGUGGAAAUUAUGACAUGUUAUCUUCUCAGAGUCCUGAACUCCCAUCCCUACCUCAGAAGAGACUCCUCUGUUCACAGAAGCUAAAGGCAGUUCCUUCCCAGUGGCAACUAUGUUUGGAUGUUGGAUCUACACUUUCUCAAGCACUGUGAUCUUCAAAUGCAGCAUCCAGCAAGAGAAAGCCGGGAGGAGCUGACAGAGCCCUCAUCACUGCUUCCCUGACAGGAGGUAAGGGAAGCAAAAAAGAGCCCCUGAGGGACAGCUCACCUCUGCUCAGACCCACCACAGUUACAGCAUCUGUCCAGCUUUCUAUAGCACUUGAAGGUAAUCAGAUCCUACAGUUUGGUGUUCAAGGCCACAACACCUGGUCCCAGUCCAUGUUGCCAGUGUCCUAUGUUUCCUCUUUCUCCAUCACUCAUGUAGUCUAUGCAUGGGCCACACUCAAUCAUUCUGCAUUUCCCGUAGUUCCCUACUUGUGUGAUAUUGCUCAUACUAUUUAUUUGGCCUGAGACCCUUCCCCACCUUCACCCUCAUUCAUGUGUUCAGCAAAUUUGUAUUGAGUACUACAUGCCAGGUACUCUUCAGGUUCCAUGAGGACUUCUGAGAAUUUAGGACUCCUUUCUCUCAGGAGCAAGUACACUGCCUACUGAGGGGAUAAGACUUGUACACAUAACUAGACUCCAAGGUGAAAGUGACAAACAUACACAUCCAUCUGAGGAAAACUGCAUCUUCCUACAAGUUUUCUCAGCACCUCUUUAGAAUCAGGUGUGCUAGGUUUGCUCAAAAUGGCAGCGCUGGAGGAAGAAUUCACAUUGUCUUUGGUAGUCCUGAGUGCGGGACCUGAAGGACUCCUAGGCAUGAAGCAGAGUGACAAAAUAGACCAGUUUCUAGUGACAGAAAGUGGCAGAAUCGUGAUCCUCUAUAAGGUUUCUGAAUAGAAACCCUUGGGGAGCUGGUCAGUGAAACAGGGUCAAAUUAUAACAUGUCCAGUUGUGUGCAACUUUCAAACUGGAGAGUAUAUUGUUGUACACAAUAAUAAAGUUUUAAGAAUAUGGAAUAAUGAAGAUGUAAACAGGGAUAAAGUAUUUAAAGCUACAUUGUCAGUUGAAGUAUAUAGGAUACUUUCAGUGCAAGGGUCAGAACCCUUGGUGCUCUUCAAGGAAGGUGUUGUUUAUGGUUUAGAGGCCUUGCUUGCAGACCCCCAGCAGAAAAUUGAAACUGUUAUCUCUGAUGAAGUGAUUAAAUGGACAAAGUUUUUCAUAGUAUUCAGACUUCCUGUUUUAAUGUUUAUUACUGAAAAACAUGGAAAUUACAUUGCUUAGGUGCAAAUGUUUAACUCACAUAUCUUAACCAAAUAUAUACUCUUACUUGGACAAGACAAAAACUCUGUUAUAGAGAGUUUUACUGCAUCAGUAGAUCAAAAAUUCAUCUCUUUGAUGUCAUUAAACUCUGAUGGUUGUAUAUAUGAAACCUUGAUACCAAUACGUCCAACUGACCCAGAAAAAAAUCAGAGCUUAGUUAGAUCACUGUUGCUCAAGGCUGUUGUGUCUGGUAAUGCUCCAAAUGGAGUUGGACUCACUGCCCUGGAUCAGGAUCACGUCACAGUCCUAGGAAGUCCACUAGCAACUUCUAAGGAAUGCCUCUCUGUAUGGAACAUAAAAUUUCAAACACUACAGACUUCAAAAGAGUUACCACAAGGGACCAGUGGUCAACUCUGGUAUUAUGGGGAAAAUUUGUUUAUGCUACAUGGAAAAUCUCUAGCUGUGAUUCCAUACAACUGUGAAGUGUCAUCAUUAGCAGGUGCUCUUGGAAAACUCAAGCAUAGUCAAAAUCCAGGAACUCAUGUUGUGCCCCAUUUUUGUAAACUGGGAAACACCUCAAGGAUGUGGACUUGGGUCCCAGAACUCAGAACAGUUAAGAAGAAUUUUAAGGAGAUGAAAAAUUGAAGUGAGUUUAUAGCCAGAGGUCUCACCAUCCAAACAACUUUUGUCAACCAUAAUGAAAGAUUCAGAAAAGCACAUUGAAGUAGAAGUAUGGAAAUUUUUGGCUCUGAAGCAGACACCUGACUUUCAUACUGUCAUUGGGGACACAGUAACAGGACUUCUGGAAAGGUGUAAAGCAGAACGAUCAUUUUAUCCCCGGAACUGUCUGAUGCAGCUUAUCCAAAUGCAUGUGCUUUCUUACAGUUUGUGCCCUGACUUAAUGGAGAUUGCCUUAAAAAAGAAAGAUGUACAGGUGUUACAACUCUGUCUACAGCAGUUCCCUGACAUUCCUGAAUCGGUCACCUGUGCUUGCUUAAAAUUUUUCUUGAGCAUUGGUGAUGACAGUCUUCAAGAAACAGAUGUCAGUAUGGAGUCAGUUUUUGACUAUAGUAAUUCUGUACAUGAUGAGAAAAUGGAAGAGCAAACUGAAAUUCUUCAAAAUGGCUUCAAUCCUGAAGAAGAUAAAUGCAAUAACUGUGAUCGAGAGUUAAAUAAAAAGCCCCAGGACAAAACAAAGGAGACCACUUCAUGCCCUGUGAUACCAAAAGGAGCAGCUCUACUUAAUGCAAUUCUUCAUUCAGCAUAUAGCAAAACAUUUCUUCUGCCUCAUUUGAAAAACAUCCGAGCACAGCAUACCACGCUGUUUCUUAAGUAUUUGUAUUUCCUUUAUCUGAAGUGUAGCAAAAAUGCUACUAUGACUCUUCCUGGAAUAUACCCACCUACCUAGAACCAGAUUAUGGAUUGGAUAUGUCUACUUCUGGAUGCAAAUUUUACUGUUAUAGUAAUGAUGCCAGAAGCAAAGAGGCUACUGAUAAAUCUUUACAAGCUUGUAAAAUCUCAGAUAUCUGUUUAUUCCGAGCUCAACAAGAUUGAAGUAAGUUUUCGGGAGCUACAGAAAUUAAAUCAAGAAAAGAAUAAUAGAGGAUUAUAUUCAAUUAAAGUGCUGGAGCUCUUCUGAUAUUACCAAUUCUCCUUCAUAGACAUUUUAUAAAGCUCUUUUAUGUGAACUCUUGCUUCAUCCAGGGAAGAAUGGUGUUUUGUUUGCAACCAUCUCGGUGUCAAGAGAAACAUGUCAGUGAGUACCUGGACCAUCACUUAUUGAUGCUCCGGGGUAGGACUGUGGGUUUCACAUGAACCUAUUCUAGGUUGUGGACAUUGGUGUGCAGAGGUUCUGCAAUUUUUAAAAAAUAUGUAACUGGGUUGGUUUUAAGUAAAAUUAUUUGUGUAUUGAUAAAAGUCUAAUUUCUUAUA